CACAUUGAGGGGCAGGGGCGGCUGCGGCUGUGUACCUCCGUGAACGUGCAAGGGGAGGCGCUACGUAGGGCUCCAGCGUUGUGUGGAGGGGCAUUGCGCAGGGGAGUCAGAGUCAAGAGUCAAGCAAACAUGCUUAUCGCCAUGGUGCCGGAGUCCAGAGCCAUGAACUUGGUGACCAGGGAAUAGUUCAGAUUAAUGCGCAGAUCAAUGAUUUUGAGGGCCCAUUGCAGUUUUGCCAACGAAACAAGAGGGCAAUCGGCUUCAUUGUUAGGAAUAGAUGCAUGAGUGUGAUGCAUACACUAGUUGCUUUUGUUGGACACCUAUGUUGGGAUGUGAUGUGGUGGUGCUUCUCUUUUGGAUAUGUAUGAUGGGGUUGUGGUUUGGUGGUACAUCUCUUUUAGAUAUGUAUGAUGGAAUAUUAUCUAUCUGUAUAUAUGCAUGUGAUUUUAACUUAA